rnacentral:lncRNA from 1 species
AUAAUUUUGUACUUAAUACAUUGAUUUGAUCAAUAAAUGAUCAAGUUUCAUUUUUAUUCAAGAUUGAUAUGUCCUUGAAUCGUCCAUGAAAUUAAUACUUCGAUAAAUAUUCUUAAGGUGUUGAGAAUUAGAGGCAUGUAUAAUUAAUUUUUAAAUAUUCUCGAUCAUAAUAUCAUCAUGAGGAUGGUAAUCGAUUCGG